CCCUUAGAUGUUCUGGGCUGCACACGUGCUACACAGGCAGGUUCAGCGAGCUUCAUGCCCUGAUCUGAAAGGAAUGGGAAAUCUUUUCAAAACCUGCCGUGCUUGGGAUAGAUGUUUGCAAUUAUUCAUCUUCAACGAGGAUUGCCUUGUAAGCGCACGUCAUCAGCGUGCAUUGAAUACGACCCUGUAUUCUGUACACACCGCCCGUCGCUCCUACCGAUUGAAGUUUUCGGUGAGUUGACAGGAGGAUUUUUUUGAAACUGGUUCGCCAGUGGAUUUUAGAUCCAAAUGCCAACGAAUCGAUGGCUUUAGAGGAAGGAGAAGUCGUAACA
rnacentral:rRNA from 1 species